GGUGCCGUGGCCGAGGGGUUAGGCACAGGUCUGCAAAACCUGCUACACCGGUUCAAAUCCGGUCGGCACCUCCU
rnacentral:tRNA from 1 species